UAAUACGUAGAUGGCUAGCGCUACCCGGAUUUACUGGGUGUAAAGAGGGCGUAGGCGGUCUUUCAAGUCGGAUGUAAAAUCUCCUGGCUUAACUAGGAGGGACCAUUCGAUACUGUUAGGCUAGAGGGCAGCAGAGGGAGGUGGAAUUCCCGGUGUAGUGGUGAAAUGCGUAGAUAUCGGGAGGAACACCAGUGGCGAAGGCGGCCUCCUGGGCUGUUGCUGACGCUGAGGCCCGAAAGCGUGGGGAGCGAACAGGAUUAGAUACCCUGGUAGUCCACGCUGUAAACUAUGGACACUAGGUAUGGGGAGUAUCGACCCUCUCUGUGCCGAAGCUAACGCAUUAAGUGUCCCGCCUGGGGACUACGGCCGCAAGGCUA
rnacentral:rRNA from 1 species